GCCGAGGUGGCGGAAUUGGUAGACGCGCUGGCUUCAGGUGCCAGUGGCCAUUGCGGCCGUGCUGGUUCGACUCCAGUCCUCGGUACCA
rnacentral:tRNA from 1 species